rnacentral:siRNA from 1 species
UGAUCGUGGUGGUCGCGACAGU